rnacentral:lncRNA from 1 species
GCACUUUUGUGCUAGCAAAGAUGCAUGCUAUGCAGUUUUCACUCCUUGGCCUGCAUUUGCGUGUUUACUGAAUUCUUACACAAAGGCAAGAAAGCAAAUAAAUAAGGAACUAUAGAAGUCUCAAGAGGAAGAAAGAGAUCAGGAUCACCAUAAUGUUCCAAAGGACAACAUAAAAAAGACCAUCUCAUCCACUUCAUAAAAGCAAUAAGGAAUCCUGUGCUGAAACCUUGGUCAACUUGGGGAAUCUGUCAGGCCAGGAAAAUGCAGAUGGUGCUCCAGACGGCCACUGUGCACAUCUCCUCAUUCGGAUGUUUCCUAUUUUGGCUGAAUCUGAAAUGCCUGAUCCCUGUGGAGCCUGAGCGAAGACCUAAUGACUGCAAUGAGGCUGUUCUCUGUGGUGAGAUUGCACUUCAAGGUGCUCAAUUUGUAAAGUAAAUUCAUCUAUGCAUAGUAUUGCCCUGCAUAAGGAGCAGUGAUUAUGGCUACAUUAUUUUGGUUCUCUGUGAUUCAUAAUCACAGUUAAUGUUAAGUAUGUGUCCCAGAGACUUAAGUCUUUGGUCUGUUCAUGUGCCGGUUGAGCUCUGAAUCUCAGCAGAUUUGCAACACCUACUUUCCAGUUCAUCAGACUCGCCCAGGACAACAAAUGAAAGGAUGAUGAUGGACAAUGCCCACCCCCAAAAUUAGAGUAUCUACAACUGCAAGCAAGACAGUUCCAUACAUCUGCCCCAUGAAAUCUAAGUCCCCUCUCAAUCAGAAGCAAAGUGGGUGUCACCAUUCCAAAAUCCUCAAGAUUGAGGAAUGUACAAACAUAAGCGGGA